CGCCGCAGGGCUUCCUGGGAAUGGUUCGCAGAUUGAACUGAGCCAGGCGCUCACUUCAGGCACCUGAUUUCCCUCAACAAUAGCUGAGGACAAAGGCUGCCCAUCUGAUGGAACUGGAAUAAGGGAGAAAGUCCUUCUUUAGCCCCAGUUCAGCUAAAGACCAUUAAUGCUGGGGCUGGGGAUAAGGUAAGGGCAACAUCAUGGGGAUGUGGCAGAUUUAUUUUGGCUAGGACUCAUUUGUUGAUACAAUUAAAAACAAGUGGAGAAAGGCAUACAGCAGUGUUUCUCAACCUUAGCAGUCUGAAGAUAUGUGGACUUCAGCUCGCUAGCUGGGGAAUUCUGAGAGUUGAAGUCCAGGCAUCUUCAAGCUGCCAAGAUAGAGAAACAUUGCCUACAAUCAUGAACAAAUUGUUUAUUCAAGGUAGACUUCCAUCCCAUCUUGAUUUCCUUCUCUUGCAAAUGUUGCUGCUCUUGAAUGGCCACUGGGAGGCAUCCUUGUCCUCUUCUGUAAUCUGACUUUUGUGGGUGAUGAUGACAAAUUAUCAGAGUUGCUAAAAAGCUGAAGCAAAUGUUUUAUCCCCAGACUGUAUUCCAAAAAAGGGGAAAUAAUGCUUGCAUAUAUGUAGCUCAGUUCAAUAUCAGCUAACUCCUACUAAGCUUCCCUCUCUCUGUACUGUGUCUUAGGCACUUCUAGCAUUUUCCCCUUCAUCCUGCCUUCAGCUUAAUACUUCCAAGCAUGGGGUCUUCAUUAAGUCUCAGAGUUAGUGAUUUGCGAGAAAGCAGCUUGGAUUUUGACAUCCAUCAGGUAUCAUAUAAACAUAAGAGGAAUAAGAGAGAGAGAAUGGGGAGGGGGGAGUUGGGGUCAGAGAGAAUCAGCCACUAAUGGAGGGUUCUCCUUGUUCAAUGACACAGCACUGAUUUAUGAGCUUUUAAAUAAAUCAUUUUUAUUGCCGUCUCUUUGUCUUGCUCUCCUACAUUUAACCCAAAGCAUCAGUCAGAGACUGUGGAGGGUCUCUGUUUGCACCAGGCAUUGGGGAUUGCAUCCCUCCAGUAUGAACUGUUCUUGUAAUGAAUCCUAAAUUUCCUUUUGCUUUUUUCUAGUGAUCACGUAUAUGAAUUCACAAGAGGUAAACUUAGAUUGGUAGCAGCUGAGUUUAACUUUUAACUUCCUCCUUCUUGGUUACUUACUACUCAUCUUCCCUUAUCUUCUAUUGCAUGAGGCGCGGUGGCUCACUGGCUUAAUGACGUUGCAUGGUCUCAGCUCUGGCGGUUCGAGCCCAAGCACUGCAUGGCAGGUUGGGACAUGGAUGAGCAUUUCAAACUACGUAACAAAAUAUGAGCUUAAUUUGAACCAAGAAGACACAAGCACAGCAAUGCAAAGAUCCAGGACAGAUUUUGGACUUUGAACCCCAAUUGAUUGCAGAUUUGAAAAACCUCCGAAGGAAAUUCCAUAACCGGACAAAACAUUCAAGACAAAUAUUUCUGGGAUGAAAGGAUAACCAUCUGCGGUGUUAAUCUGGGGCUGUCAAGGGGAUCCAAACCUGAUGUUGCACCGGACCUCAAAUUCUUUCAGCUGACCCUAUUAACAUGAGCCAUAACUCCCAUUAGUAAUUCUUCUUCGCCAGCCCUAGUAAAAGAAACAGGUGGUUGUAUGAGUGCAGCAGUUAAGCAGGCCCCACUUAGGACAGUAUGGACACUACAAUUCCAAAAGGACAUCAAUAAAUUGGAGCAGAUCCAAAGGAAGGCUACCAAGAUAUGAAAGAUCUGAAAACUAAGUCCAAUGAAGAAACAAUUAAAACAACUGGUAUGUUUAAUCUGCACCACUGUAGACUGAGGAAACAUAACAACUCCUUUCAAGUUAUCUAAAACAGCUAUUACACAAAAGAAAGAGUGGAUUUCGUCUAUGGAGAUUCUCAUUUAUCAAGGUCAUGGUUGUCGCAAAGGUGCUUUUCCAAAAGGUAACUGGACUUGUUCUCUAUUGCCCCAGAGGAGAAAACCAGAACCAAUGGGAUGAUACUAUAAGAAAGUAGAUUCAGGUAGCUAUUACGAGGAAGGAACAGAUACUAAGAGCUUUCAACCACAGAAAUAGAUUGCUUCAUGAAGUCAUAUAUUCCUCUUCACUGGAGGUCUUCUGAGAGAGACUGAAUAGCUAUCUGUCCAAAAUUUUGCAGAUUCUGCAAUGAGCAUCUGGUUUUCCUCCCCGUCCCCAUCCCCAGGGCAUAAGAAAGCAAAGAUAGUACAGUAAUAAGUACCUACGGUAUAAUUCCAAAACAUUUGGACCAGCAUUCAAAUUUUAUUUCCAUUGACAAAAUCAACAUCAAUUGCAAAA